GGAUCUCUUUCUGGAGGUAGCUUCUCUUGCAGUUUUCUUGUGCGGCUUCAAUGCAGGUGAUGGGAGCAGUAUCCAGUUCUGUAAAAAUAAGACUGGCAGACUUCAGUGUGGUCUAGAGAAGAGCAAUUUGUCAAAAACAAAUAUUGCCAGAACUUAGACACCAGGUUAGAACAGGAAAUAGUAAAAAGUAAGGGAGUUUAACUCUGAGUCAGCAAAACUAUAUACUUAUAUAAAAAUUAAAUGUACCAAAUUGGUGGGAUAGUGUCCUACACCUACAUAUCCCAGAGCAACAGGGCAGAUGAGUGCAGCUAUCAGAAUAGUGAGCUCCCUAGCCUCUUGAAAGACAAGAAAUCUAAGCCAAUACAUCUCAGGAGCAUGCAUACCAACACGUGUAGUCUAGGCAACAGGAGGAAUUGGUGCUCUAUGUCUGUUCUCCAGUCUGAGAACUAUGAUGUUAUAGGAAUCACAGAAACUUGGUGGGAACAAUCAUAUGACUGGAAGACCACAAUGCAUGCAUACAGUCUCUUUUGGAAAGACAGGAUAGGAGGUGGAGUUGCACUUCAUGUGAAAGAAAUGUGAGUGUAUGGAGGUAAGCUAUGGAGACCAUGGAAGUUCUAAUGAAUGCCUUUAGCUCAUGAUUAGAGGGAUUGUCUUAAUAUUUUUGUCAGCAACAUGGAUAUUGGGAUUUAGUGCAUGCUCAGCAUGUUUGCCAACAGCACCAAGAUAUGUGGUAUGGUCAACAUUCUGGAAGGAGGGCAUGCCAUCUAGAGGGACGCUCCAUCAACAUGAGAUGGCAAUAUGUGACUGCAGCCCAGAAAGGCAACUAUAUCCUGGGCCCACUUAAAGCCUAUUUUGAUGACAGUAUGAUCCCUCACAAUUACAUCAUCCUAUGCCUGUUGUUCAGUAGCCCUGUCUGUCAGUGCCUCACAGGUCUUCUGGUUACUUUCUACAUGCCCUUUCCUUCCUAACUUAAAGCUCUCCUUAUGAAGAGAGCCAUCAUAUUGACAAAAAUAUCUUCAUCUCUCUUAGAAUGGAGCAUAUCAUCUCUCCCAAGCAGAUGCUACUCUUCUAAUAGGGUCACAUGGUCAUGAAACCUUACUCAUUGUGUUAUAUGGGCAGCACUGCUGAAGGAAGAAUCUCAACAGACAAUCAAAAUGUCUAAAAGAGCUGUUGCUCUGUUUUGCAAGAGAGUUUAGUUGAACCAACAGAACUUAGUUGAUAUCUUUUGUAGAGCAAGAAGCCAGGUUUGUGGUAACUUACCCUAUUACAGCAAAUGCUGGCAGCUCUUGCAGAUCAAAGGGGAAAUCCAUGCGGAAGUUAGUUCUGAAUAGUGCUGUGAUGGUAACUGUGAGAGAAUAAAGAGUUAGAAAAGGAAAGGGAAUAAUGAGGUAAGAAGUUAAAUGCCAUAAAAGCUGAAAGCAGAGACAGGUCAACUAGUUAUAUAUGUGCCAUUGUAUGGUUUCAUAUUAUGUACAAUAUUACAGAUAUGCAGUCUGCUUUAAUUUUAGUAAUCUCAAUUUUUAAACACUUGCAAACCUAGCACUCUUGAUGAUAUAGGUUUGUUUUCAGAGUAUGUACGUAUCUUCACCUACAAUCCCAGCUUUGUACAUACUUUUCUUUUUUCUUUUCUUCUACCAUCCAUUGUUUAUUUAGAGAUACUGACCAGUACUAUACUGCAUUAUUGUAAUGCUCUCCAUGCAAUCCACGCUAUCCCUACAUCUGCUUGGAACUCUGAUAAUUUUAUCUCAAAGUUUUUCUGCAGUAAGAUGGCAAAUGCUCACCUAAGCAGAAGAGUUAGCUCACGUGCUCUGUGUGAAUUUGCAAUAGUUUAGGUGUUCCACAUAAACAUUACAGGUAGAUAUGAAGAGUGCGCACGAAGGAAAGCAGCUCCAUCCACUUUCAAGUACAUUAACUACCUUACAAGAAGGCACUGUUACUGAGUGAUAAUAGUAUCCACACAGGAAACUAGUGCAAAGACAUUAUUUUACCUACAAAGUGCAUAACUGCUGAGAGCAGACAAGACUAGAGAUUGUGAAGAUAUCAGAGAGGGGUCUGAGAAAAACUGCUGCAUGAACAGUGACUGAAAAGUAUUGUAACUGUUGUAACAGAAGGAAACAAGAAAAGACAUGAAAGGUAAGUUACAGCAGGCAUGAUGUAUGACUGUAAAAUAACGAAUUACCGGUCUAAACAGAAAUUUCUAAUUCUCUAAUAAGGGAUUCGGGCAACACAAACAGAGCAAAUUCAGAAUUAUGCACCCUGCAUUUUUCGUAGAUAAUUGGAUCAUGGAACAUUUUAGUCCAGACAGUCACUGAAGCAGAAUGUAGUGAGCCAUUCAUAUUGGUAUAAAAGCUGCCUGGAUGAUUUUGAAGAAGGACAGGUUAGCUAAGAUGUUUCAGGAUUAAGCUAAUUUCAAAUGAUUUGAGAGAUCAGCAGGGGCCUACAGUAGAUAAAGUGAAGGAUUGGAGAUUAUCUCCUGUCAUUUGCCUUCUAUUUUCCUCUGGCAAGAAGAGAGGUAAAUGUUUUUAUGACAGAUCUGAUGGUUGAAUAACCCAUAACAUGAGGCAGUGUUUCGCAGGCAAAGAUGUAGUUCCUUUUUACAUUCCGAGUAUAAAGUGUCAUCACUUUCUAUAUUCAAAAAGAAUAUUCAAGGCAAAUAAUGUUCUAACACAAUAAAAUCCAACUCUGGGAUGUCAAGAGAAAGUAAAUUAUAGCAAUUUUAAAAUGGAAGAGCCCACAUGGAGCUCGGAUCAGUAAAAUAAAUAGAAGUGUAAGAAUGCAGAAUAAAGGGAUUAUAAGAAAGAAGUUUACAUAUGAAUGGCAACCUUCUAUAUCAACUGAAACCUCAUUCCAGCAGUAUCUGAAUUGAUUUCUCGAACACACUUGGUCUGUGCUAUUUCUGCCUGUACACGUUGCCCUCACUCCUUUCAGUUGGGACAGUUUUUUGUUUCUAUCAGAGUUACAGUUGAAGAUAGCAUAGUUGGAGCUUUUAGUCCCCGGGGCCUUCAGUCAGACCCCACCUGUUUUGCAGCCUCCUAAUCAUUUUAUCACCUCAGUUUUCUAGACUACAGCUUGUUCUGUGUGCAUCUAGUCAAGAGGUAACCAAACCAGACUGUGGUGUUUCCAGUGAACUGCAUGCACUGCAAGAUGUAUUACCCAAUUUGUGGUGGGAUAUGUUUAUAUUUGCAGUCCUGACGUUAUGCUGAAUAAAGACAAAAAUCCCACCUCAGGACCCUUCUUACUUGAUUGGUACUCAUAUACAGCCUUUUUUCAGUCAUAUUCCAAGCACACUGGGGUAAGUUGUGUUAUACAUUUAGUGAUAUAAGAUGGUUCCCUUCCUCUUUCCUUCUCUACUCUUAGAUGUCCAAUGUCAUGGCAGAAGUCUCAAACAUCCUAAAAGCUGAGGGCUUUGAGAAAGAAUGGAAAAUGAAGGAAAAAAAAAAAAGACAACAUCUGUACAAAGACAAUAGGAAUGAUUUUAGCUUACCUGCAUCCUUGUUCCAAACAGCAAGGACUCGGAAAAUGAAGGCACUAAAGGUAGCUGCAAAGAAACCUCUCCAAUAAUUACGCACAGCAAAGUAAGUGGAAGUGACCUCAAUGCUGAAAAGGACCCCUAGAAAGAGUUAGAAAAGGAGCAAAAUUAAAAUCAGAAGCGUGAUGACAGAAGGACAAGAAAUACUUCUAGAUAGUCUUCUAAAGCAGUGGUCUGAAAAUGUCUUUGAUUGAGUACCCCCAUUGGUAAAAUAUUUUUGAUUGUGUAUAUUUGUUUAUAAAUUGUGUAUGUGCAAUACUGUACUAGUAUAUGGGGUACAUUAUAAAGCAUACACAAAAAUAAAAAUGAUAUGAUAAUGCAAAGAUUGAUUUAUUUUAUUAAUUGUACAAAAAUUACUGUUCUCACUAAAAAUAUUAUUAUUAAUAUUUGUUAUUUUUGAAAAUCAUGGUUUAACGCUUAGUUAUGCAACUCACAGUUGUAAGUUCAGUUUAUAUCCAUACUUAGUUUUAAUGGCUAUCAGAGUUGAAAAAGAGCCCUUGCAAAGACUGAAAUGGGAGAAGUGUAACCUUGGCUGCACUUACUAAGUAAAAAAAAAAAAUCAACACAUAUAUGAUAAAAUACAAUUAAUAAAUGCAUUCCAAACCCACUGAAAAUUAUCCUUUGGAAGGUUUUUCAAUGCGUGGGAAAACUCUUAUUUCCAAGUUUUUCAUGUGUACAGAUGAGAGAGGUUUUACAAAUGACACACAUCAUUUUCAGCAAGAAAAUCACAAAUCUCCCCAGUACAGCGUCCCUCUGAAAAAGCACGUACUUUCUCACUCAGUGUUAAAAUUGCACUUUCACCUUACAGGGACAGAUUACGUGCUUGUAUUUUUGAGUGUGUUUGCUGGGUAGCACAUUUCUGCCAGCCUCUUGUCAUGAUAGAAAAGAUCAGGAAAUUCAGAACACCUUUUUGUAAAAGAAAAAUAUGCAACUCAUCUUUAAAUUUGAAAACUCUUUUUAAUUCCUUUGCCAUGAGAUAACCUCUGUAGAUGUCUGUGUGGUAUAAAAGGUUUUUAUGGUCAUUCCCUACCUUCUUACAAAGUAUUGUAAAUAUCCCACUAUCUUAAGAUCUUGGUUUUUAUGAAAUUAACCACAUCAGUGUUAUCCUGUUGCACUUUGUGCACUUCUGGCUCUCCCUUUUUUGCUAUGAUAUCUUGCUUCUGAGCCAUGCAGCCAACGAUUCUUAUGCACUUGUGCUAUUUCUACUAUAAACAUACACCAGAAUCUUUUUCCAGUCAAUGAUACUGUACCAUCAGUGGUUACAAUUGCACUGCUUUUCAAAAAAACAUUGGUUUUAUGAAAGAAGCCAUUUACUGAUGAGAAUAUAUCUUCUCUGGUAGGUCUUUCCUUCACGCAUUUCACUACUGAAACAGAAUGUAGCAAAUACCAGAAGACAUGGUAGAAAUGUCUGCGCUUUUACCCAUUCAGCUGGAUAGGCUGAAAUACCUUGCAGUACACUGAAAGCAGGUGAACAAGUGAGGGCAACUGUCUGUGUGAUGGGACAACCAACCUUCAUCCAGGACACCUCACAAACUGCAUGUGACACGUGGCCAUCUGGCAUAUGGACCAAGAGAAGCCACCAGUGACAGCAUGUACACUGAAUACUGGUAAGCCUUAAUUUCUUUCUUUUUUUUUUUUUUAAUCUAGAAAAUAUAAGUAGAUAUUCCAGCAUUUUCUUCCCACAAUGUAGUGGAUUGUUUUGCAGACCUCCUGAGAUCUGUACACCCUCAAUUUGGAAACAACUGUUCAGAAGAGCCAUUACCUCUUGCUUUAUGGAAAGCUGACACGUGUAAAAGAAAGGCUGUGUAAGAGGAGUUUGGGAGACUGGUGACACUAAAGGCAAGCAUCUUUGUUUAAAGUACAUGACAGAUCAAAUAUAGGGUGCAGGAAAUGGGGAAAUGAGAAGUGGACUAGGCAGGAGAUGAUUUAGGUACCUGAGAAAAAGGAAACAGAACAGCCACUUGCCUCCAAGUGGUGUCCCAAAGCAGCAGCCAACACCCACAGCACAACCCACAGUCAGGACAUCCGUGUAAUAAUAUGGCUGCUACUGGUAGAAGAGACAGAGAGAGACAAACAGGGACAAAGAAAAAAAGCAGUGAGUGAGUGACAGAAUUAGCAGGUAUGGCCACAUACUGUCACCCAGCUCUGUCACUAAUCUUACAUCAUCUACGUUCUGGAUGGCUGCAAAAUAUUCAAAGACAGAUUCUAUGUGGUACAAGACAGGAAUAUACUUGGAGUCAAAUAUUCGAGACAUGAAGAGAAGGCAGUAUCUCAUCUUUAAUUGAAACACGCACAUUUCUGUCACUUCAGAAGGAAUGUUUCAUGAGAGAUUCUUCAGAGCAUGGAGCACACGUGUGUGUUUCACUCUCUCUUUUACUUUGGUAGGGAAUUUCAGGUUGCAUAUGUGCCAGAGUGUUUCAAAAGAGAAACACUCUCUGAGUUUGCAUACACAAGGCACAAGUAUAUCCAGAACAGGGUAUGGACAGUGGCUGGAGAGUGAGUGGGUAAUAGAUCACCUAUUAAAGGAUUGAGCUCUCCUGGUUAAAUCACAAAAGUUGUAAGUUUAUAUGCUAUCACUGAGACAGUUUUGGAGCACAUGGGGAGAGGGAGAGUCUUCUUCUGCUCUCUCUAAAACUUGGAAGAGCAGUUGAAGGCCCUGACAUGCCUGAGAAUGAUGAUGAGCCGUAGGGAACAGAUGGGUUUUAAUACAUGGUUGUUCUUUAUUGUUGUGUACUUGGUACCUUCUGCUGUUAUAUGCUCCUGAAACAGUCUGUUAUGACUUCCAUGAGAGCUGAGUUUUGAGAAAGGGCGAACAUUGGCAUUCUGAGUGGCCAGAGAGAAUUCUAAGGGCAAAGGCAAUGAAUUCCUACUUACCUGAGAAAGUAUUUGAUAGAGCCUCAAGGAAGAGGCUUGUCAAGGCUAUGGCUGCACAGCCCAACAAAAAAGAGCCAUAGUUUAUUUUCUGACCCACAGGAGUCCUUCAACAUUCACAGAUUUGCCUUAGGUCACCUUUGAGCCCUAUUAAUACCCCUAUGGCCUUAAACACAGUCAUGUCCAGAAUGGGGAUGGAUUUCAGUUCAGUGUCUGGGACAGUGUGAGGGUUGUGUUAUACCCCAUCAGGACAGUGACUAACAGCUUGUAACAAAGGGUACAUGUUACAUGGCCUGCAGUAUAGCAAGAGGUAAGUAGAGCUGUUUGAAAGUGCAAAAAGCCUGAUGAAACAGUAAAGAACAGUAAAAGAUGGCAAGAUUCAAGCACGACAUGGUAUUACUCAUACCACCCACAGAGAACAGUCCAUGGCAUAUGGCAUCCCCCAGAGUGUGUGAGAGUGCCAAUGCUGUGUAACUUAGGAGUAGCCAGAAAGACUAAAACAAGCAGACAAACAAAGAGUACCACAGCGCACUCAGAAAAAGCAGAGCUGGGCAUCUUUUUCUUGUAAAAGGCCAAUUUGGUUUUUCAAACCCAUUUUGAGGGAUCCUCACUAAAUACACAGGGUGGUGUUUACCAGCAACAACCUCAAAAAAUUUUAGUUGCAAAUGAUUCCCUGGACAUAGGUCCAGGGAAUGAAAUUCUGCAAUUUGGUGUGAUUCCAUAAGAGGAAAUCAUCUAGGUCCGUAAAAAUUACAAUAACUUUCAAUUCAUUCUUAUACUACAGUGCUGUCACAGACUCACAGCAAGUUUUAGCCUGGAAGGUAUUCCUUUUCCAGUUCCCUGCUCAGAGUUGUACUACCUUCAAGGCUCGAGCAGGGUGCUCAGGAUCUUGUCCAAGUGAGUCCUGAACAUUUCUAAGGGUGGGGAUUCUCCAGGUCCCCUGAGCAUCCAUACAAUUACUGAACCACCCUUGGGAGAGGGGAACAACUUACACAGAAUUACUAUUUCCCUUGCCACAAGCUCUGUCCUUGCCUCUUCCACUGUGCCCCUCUGAAAAAGCCCGACUUUAUCUCCUCCAAAAUCCCCUAGGUGGCUGUUGGCACCAGCUAGACAUCUGUUAGCUUUUUCUCCUUUACGCUGAGCAAGCUCAGAUCCCUCUACCUCUCCUCAUAUCUCACUAGUCCUGCCUCCCAACUGUC